rnacentral:rRNA from 1 species
AUUGAACGCUGGCGGAAUGCUUUACACAUGCAAGUCGAACGGCAGCACGGACUUCGGUCUGGUGGCGAGUGGCGAACGGGUGAGUAAUACAUCGGAACGUGCCCAAUCGUGGGGGAUAACGUAGCGAAAGCUACGCUAAUACCGCAUACGAUCUAAGGAUGAAAGCGGGGGAUCGCAAGACCUCGCGCGAUUGGAGCGGCCGAUGGCAGAUUAGGUAGUUGGUGGGGUAAAGGCCUACCAAGCCGACGAUCUGUAGCUGGUCUGAGAGGAUGAUCAGCAACACUGGGACUGAGAAACGGCCCAGACUCCUACGGGAGGCAGCAGUGGGAAUUUUGGACAAUGGACGCAAGGCUGAUCCAGCCAUUCCGCGUGCAGGAUGAAGGCCCUCGGGUUGUAAACUGCUUUUGUACAGAACGAAAAGGCUCUGGUUAAUACCUAGGGCUCAUGACGGUACUGUAAGAAUAAGCACCGGCUAACUACGUGCCAGCAGCCGCCGUAA